GACUCGGCUUUCGCGGGGGCUGCUGGGGCGUGGACAUCGGGGACGCGCAGGGGCGCGAGCGGCUAGGAGGACGCGCUUCUUUGGUCGCGCGCGCCGCAACCCGGGCCCUGAGUGGAACCCGAAGACGCACGAGGGAGGACCGGGUCGAGCAUGAAGAGGCAGGGGGCCUCCUCCGAGCGGAAACGGGCGCGGAUGCCGUCCGGGAAGGCCGGAGCAGCGAAUGGAUUUCUCAUGGAAGUGUGUGUUGAUUCAGUGGAGUCAGCUGUAAAUGCAGAAAGAGGAGGUGCUGGUCGGAUUGAAUUAUGUUCUGGCUUAUUGGAAGGAGGAACCACACCCAGCAUGGGUGUCCUUCAGGUAGUGAAGCAAUGUGUCCAGAUCCCAGUUUUUGUGAUGAUUCGGCCACGUGGAGGUGAUUUUUUAUAUUCAGAUCGUGAAGUUGAGGUGAUGAAGGCUGACAUUCGUCUUGCCAAGCUUUAUGGUGCUGAUGGUUUGGUAUUUGGGGCAUUGACUGAAGAUGGACACAUUGACAAAGAGCUGUGCAUGUCCCUCGUGGCUAUUUGCCGUCCUCUGCCAGUCACUUUCCACCGAGCCUUUGACAUGGUUCGUGACCCAGUGGCAGCUCUAGAGACCCUCUUAACUUUGGGAUUUGAACGAGUAUUGACCAGUGGAUGUGACAGUUCGGCACUAGAAGGGCUACCCCUAAUAAAGCGACUCAUAGAUCAGGCAAAAGGCAGGAUUGUGGUAAUGCCAGGGGGUGGCAUAACAGAAAGAAAUCUACAAAGGAUCCUUGAGGGUUCAGGGGCUACAGAAUUCCACUGUUCUGCUCGGUCUGCUAGAGAUUCAGGAAUGAAGUUUCGAAAUUCCUGUGUUGCCAUGGGAGCCUCUCUUUCUAGCUCAGAAUAUUCUCUAAAGGUAACAGAUGUGACCCAAGUAAGGACUUUGAAUGCUAUUGCAAAGAAUAUUCUGGUUUAGCCAGACUUCUGAGAGACAUGGAUAUCACAGGUAAAGGUAGAAGAGUAGUCUACAAUUCUCUAUGACACAGCUUUAACUUACUUCUCUGGCAAGGACAGUCACAAUCUUUGUCUUAAGUCUCACAUGGCCAUGGAGAAUGUUUCCAAGAAGAAAAAGAACUUGAAACAGAGCUACAGUCACUUCCUUUGCUUAAUCUUGCCAGCCAUCUCUCCAUCAUCAUGGUUAAAUCUGGUCUAUGUGUCUUCCACAGAUAGAGGCUUACUCUGUUUUCAGUGGAAUUAGUUGAUGAACUGGGAAAAUUCAACUGCAAGGUUAGCUUUCUAGUCUCAGUCUUUGAUAGUUUAAAAGUCCAACCCAGGAAGCCAGGCAUUGAUUAUUGAAGCCAACACUUUGUGCUCUCCACUAUGUGAAUAUAAAAGAAGCAUAAGAAAUUGACAAGAUGACCCUAAAGUUCAUCUGGAAAUGCAAGGGACCCAGAAUAGCCAAACAAUCUUGAAAAAGAACAAAGUUGGAGGACUCACAUUUCUCGAUUUCAAAACAUAGUACAAAACUACAGUAAUCAAGACAAUGUGGUAUUGGCAUAAAGGUGAAUAUAUAGCAAUAUAUUCAGUUGCAUAUAAAUGUAUGUGCAAUUCUCAGUGCAAUAGAAUUGAGAGUCCAGAAAUAAACCCUUAUAUUAUAGUCAGUUGAUUCUUGAAAGGGUGCCAAGAUAAUUAACUGGGAAAAGAAUAGUUUUUAAACAAAUGGUGCUGGUCAACUGGAUAUCCACAUGCAAAAGAAUGAAGUUGGACCUUGCCUCACAUCAUGUACAAAAAUUAACUCAAAUGGAUCAUAGACCUAAAUAAAAGCUAAAAGAUAAAACUCUUAGAAGAAAAUAGGAGUAAAUCUUUGUAACCGUGGGUUAGGCAAAGCCUUAGAUAUGACACCAAAAGCACAAGUGACAAAAGAAAAAAUGGGUAAAUUGGACUUCGUCAAAAUUAAAAACCUAUGCUCAAAGGAUAAGAUCAAGACAGUGAAAAGACAACCCACAGAAUAGGAGGAAAUAUUUGCAAAUCAUAUGUCUGAUUCAUGGGGUCAUAUCCAGCCUGUAUAAAGAAUACUUAGAGCUCAGCAAUAAAAAGACAACCUAGUUUUAAAAUGGGCAAAGGAUUUGAGUAGACGUUUCUCUGAAGAAGGUAGACAGUUGGCCAAGAAGCAUAUGAAAAAGUGCUCAACAUCAUUAAUCAUUAGGGAAAUGCAAAUCAAAACCCCACUGAGAUAACCAUUUCAUACCCACUAAGAUGACUAUAACCCAAAAGGCUGACACUACCAAGUGUUGACAAGGAUGUGGCACAACCAAAACUUUCAUAUACUGCUAGUGGGAAUGUAAAACAGUGGAGCUGCUUUGUAAAAUAGCCUGGGAAUUUCUCAAAUGUUAAACAUAGAGUUGCUAUGUGACCCAGCAGUUCCACUCCUAGGUAUAUACCCUAAAGAACGGAAAACAUAUGUCCACACAAAAACUUGUACACCGAUGUUUGUAGCAACAUUAUUCAUCUUUUAGAAUUAGAGAAUAACCAUUUUGCAGCCCCUAAUGAAAUAAAUCAGUCAAAGAUCAUUAAUGCUAAAACCAUUUGGUGAAAAGUAGAUUGGAAGCUAAGUAUCCACAUGGUGCCAAAGUAUCAUCUUGUAGAUUACUUGCUAGUCAUUAAUGUAGAAAUUUGAUGUUAAAAUGCAGCUAUCUGGUUGUUACCACCUCAACCCAGUAAUCAAAUUUAAUAUUACUAGCAGUGGAAGCGUAUACUGCUGAAGGAAAGGAUUUGAGGGGGAAGAGAUCAGCCAGAGGCUGUAACCUGUGUUAGGAAACCAGUUUAGAGGUUGUUAAUGUGUCUCAAGGAAGAGCUAAGAGUUGAACCACCUGGAAAGCUGCUGUAACAAAGUGUGAUGGUUAGCUAUGGAUCAAGCAAGUGUGAACUGCAAACACCACCAGCUCAUAGGGUGACCAACCAUCCCAGUUUGCCUGAAACUUCCAAUUUUAGCAUUGAAAGUCCCGUAUCCUAGGAAAUUCCUCAGUUGCCUGGUAAACUGGGAAAGUUUGGUCAUCCUACCAGCUCAGUAAAAUUGGCUUUGCCUCUUUUCCCCUGAUCCUCACCUCCUUGCCCUAAUCCUGGAAUUGGGGGUGGGGGGAGGGGAAUAUAUUGAGUAACAAGGAAAAAUGAUAAAAGGGAUGACAUUUCCCUCACCAGUGGUAGCUGGUCCCUGAGCUAAGAAAGGAGGGGGGCUUUAAAUGGAUGUGAGUUUCUUUUGUGGAUGAUAAAAAUGUUCGAAAAUUGAUUAUAGUGAUGGUUGCACAACGCUGAAUAUGCUAAAAAUCAUUGGAUUGUACACUUUAAGUGGGUGAAUUGUAUGUGAUUUAUAUCUCAAUAAAGCUGUUUUUUAAAAAAAUGCAUGUGAGAGAGUUUUAAAUUAGAUUAGAUCAGCCUGGACCUUUUAAUACCUAAAAGAGACCCAAAGGCUAUAGGAUCUGCUUGAGAUGUGCUCAAGGGCAAGGAAUGGGGUUUGAUGUAGCAUGGUUGAACACAAUGGUGGAAGCAAAAUAUUUUUUCUUAUUUGUUUUCUAUUUGGUUUACAUCUCUCAGUGAGUUGGCUAUACUAGUUUCUUUUUUUUUAUUGAGU